UUUUUUUUUUUUUUUUUUUUUUUUUUUUUUUUUUAUAUUUUUGGUUUUAAGAAGAA
rnacentral:ribozyme from 1 species